rnacentral:rRNA from 1 species
AUUGAACGCUGGCGGCAGGCCUAACACAUGCAAGUCGAGCGGAUGAAGGGAGCUUGCUCCUGGAUUCAGCGGCGGACGGGUGAGUAAUGCCUAGGAAUCUGCCUGGUAGUGGGGGAUAACGUCCGGAAACGGGCGCUAAUACCGCAUACGUCCUGAGGGAGAAAGUGGGGGAUCUUCGGACCUCACGCUAUCAGCUGAGACUAGGUCGGAUUAGCUAGUUGGUGGGGUAAAGGCCUACCAAGGCGACGAUCCGUAACUGGUCUGAGAGGAUGAUCAGUCACACUGGAACUGAGACACGGUCCAGACUCCUACGGGAGGCAGCAGUGGGGAAUAUUGGACAAUGGGCGAAAGCCUGAUCCAGCCAUGCCGCGUGUGGGAAGAAGGUCUUCGGAUUGUAAAGCACUUUAAGUUGGGAGGAAGGGCAGUAAGUUAAUACCUUGCUGUUUUGACGUUACCAACAGAAUAAGCACCGGCUAACUUCGUG